CGUAUCACCCAAGACAACUUUACGGAGUUGACGAUUGACGGAGCGAAGCGACGUCAAAGCGUUCAUUAAAGUCGAGUUGGCUUAGGGAUACGUUCGUUGGGUAGGGGAGCGUUCUGUAAGCCUGUGAAGGUGUGUCGUGAGGCAUGCUGGAGGUAUCAGAAGUGCGAAUGCUGACAUAAGUAACGAUAAAGCGGGUGAAAAGCCCGCUCGCCGGAAGACCAAGGGUUCCUGUCCAACGUUAAUCGGGGCAGGGUGAGUCGACCCCUAAGGCGAGGCCGAAAGGCGUAGUCGAUGGGAAACGGGUUAAUAUUCCCGUACUUGGUGUUACUGCGAAGGGGGGACGGAGAAGGCUAUGUUGGCCGGGCGACGGUUGUCCCGGUUUAAGCGUGUAGGUGUGUGUUCCAGGUAAAUCCGGUUCACUUUAACACUGAGGCGUGACGACGAGGCACUACGGUGCUGAAGCAACAAAUGCCCUGCUUCCAGGAAAAGCCUCUAAGCAUCAGGUAACACGAAAUCGUAC
rnacentral:rRNA from 1 species